AAUGAUCUUCUUGAUAUCUUUUAUGUAUACACGCAUAGUCAUGUAUGAUGAGAACAUUUCAUUGCAUCAAGAUUUUAAAAUGCUUAUAUUAGUGUCUGGAUUGUAGGUAUAUUUGUGGACCACCUUCAGUAGAGACUUCUAAAGACCAAAUGAGAAAGCCAUCGAGUUGACUUAUGAAGGAUGCUGGAGCCCUGAAGAGCAUUUCAGAUUAGAUAGAUGAGACCUUAGUUAGCAAUCACAAAUUGCCAUAGGAUUUACUGAACGCUGAGGUAUCCUGUCUGUGACGCUUCCUGGAGUGGAAAUAUGAUCAUUUAUAGCAUUCGAGGGUACCUUAUGAAGGAAGGCCAACACGUUAGUUACAUGUGCUUCUGGACAGCUGGAGGGCUGGACUUUGAUUCCUAAAUCUCACACGUAUACCGCUGGUUAAACAUUUCUUAAUAUAGCUCCUUUUUUCCCCCCCCAUUUUUAAAAUCCAGACAAGAAGGAAGAAAAGAGAAGACAUUCGAGAUCAAGGUCACGCUCCAGGAGGAGGAGGACCCCCUCAUCCUCCAGACACAGGCGGUCACGAAGCCGGUCAAGGAGGCGGUCACACUCCAAGUCCAGGAGUAGAAGGAGAUCCAAAAGUCCAAGACGGAGACGAUCUCAUUCGAGAGAGAGGGGUAGAAGGUCAAGGAGCACAUCCAAAGCCAGAGACAAAAAGAAAGAAGAUAAAGAAAAAAAACGUUCCAAAACUCCACCAAAAAGCUACAGCACAGCCAGACGCUCUCGGAGUGCAAGCAGAGAGAGAAGACGACGGCGAAGUAGGAGUGGUACAAGGUCCCCUAAAAAGCCCAGAUCUCCUAAAAGAAAGCUGUCCCGCUCACCAUCCCCAAGGAGACAUAAAAAAGAGAAGAAGAAAGAUAAGGACAAAGAAAGAAGCAGAGAUGAAAGGGAGCGAUCAACAAGUAAGAAGAAGAGGAGCAAAGACAAGGAGAAGGAACGAGAAAGGAAGUCUGAGAGUGACAAGGAUGUCAAACAGGUGACUCGGGAUUAUGAUGAAGAGGAGCAAGGCUAUGACAGUGAGAAGGAAAAGAAAGAGGAGAAGAGACCAACAGAAGCAGUGUCCCCUAAAGCAAAGGAGUGCUCUGUGGAGAAGGGGGUGGGCGACCUUCGAGAGUCCAAAGUGAAUGGGGAUGAUCACCACGAAGAAGACAUGGAUAUGAGUGACUGAGCCCAAGGCUGGCUGCAGAUGGGCCUCAGUGUCAUUCCUUGUGAUCCCUAAUGCUGUGUGUGUUCAUCUCACCUAGGUGUAUACAGCUGCACAUUACCAAUGGCUGCAGAACACCCAAUCAUGACCUCUAGUGCUUUAUAGCAAAAGCUGUAAAGUGGUACCUGGGUGACCAGCAUUGCCAUGGUUACAUCCAUUUGCGUAAUCAAGCAGCUGUGCAACUGCUGCUUCUAACAGAUGAACAGCUGCAUGCAUCUCCAGCAGGCAUGGAUUGUCUCUUGUCUAUGAUCCUCAGUGCGUUCACUUAGAGUAUUUCUAGAGUUUGAGUCCUUGCCGUGAUAGAGCCAUGUAGGGAAUGCACUGAUUGCAUGUUACCCCAAGCGUCAUGAAACCUUCCGACACGGUGACCUAUUUAAUGGUCUUGUUUGUUGACAUGACAAAUUAACAUUCUUAGAGUUACAUCUCGAAAAAAGCAUUUGUGAUAGAUAAGCCCUUUGAGCCUUGUGGCUAAAUUUUUGUGGCUUUGUUUAACUUUCAAAGGUUAUAUAUGCACUAACCUUUUUUGAUGGCUAAGUAGGCUUUAAAUUACAGUAAAAUUUUUUCAAAUAAAACUGGCUGUAAAAUAUAUUUUGAAUUAGAGUUGUUCACUUUUUCAUAGCUACUUAUGUUUUUUUCCCAAUAAUUUAUUUCACAUCUCUACCAGUGAACGCAGCCCAUCACUAGAAAAUGACCUUGUCCUGAUUUUCAGUUUUCAACUAUUAGUUUUAAAGCUCACUGUUGAAUAAGAGGAAGUGGUGGUGCAUUUUAAAUUGACUUUCAUGUGCUUUUAAAAUAUGACAGAUCUCCUUGAUAAUGUACUUUUAUUUGAUCUCAAGUUGUAUAAAACCAAUAAAUUUGUGUUACUUUGAUUGCAGUAGUAUCUUAUGCAUAGUGAUUCCAUGUUAUAUGCAGACUAGUUAGGCAACUGUUUUCUUAGUUACAAGCUUCACUUUUGUGCAGUUAAAAAAACAAAAGUAGGCUACAGUCUGUGCCAUGUUGAUGUACAGUUUCUGAAAUUGUUUUACAAGACUUUGAUAAUAAAACCCUUAAACUCACAAGUCAUGCUUCUGUAGAACUGCAUUGUGUUUAUUCACAUGUUGAACGUAUGUCAGUUACAAUCAUUCCCUAUUUACAUGUUUAAACAAUAGCUGAAUGGAGUCCACCCCCUCCGUGUAGAUGCCAGCAUAAUUAUUAACAAUACUUUAUGUCUAAAUUAUGGUUUAACCUGUGUUCUAGAUAUAGGACUGAGGUCAUACAACAGUGUCUUGGGAAUAAAUACAAUCUCACCUAUGCCUAACAAAUUUACAUUUUCAUUGAGAGUACAGAAAUUUGCCUUUCUGAAAUAGUAUGUUAGUUGCUGGUCACAUGUUUGUACUGUAUUACAAUAUUAAACAGGUAAAUGGCUAGUAUUGGGUGGCUUAGAGGAAGGAAGACUAAAACAGAUUUGUAGUCUAAAACUUUUGAAUGUAAAUUAAAAAUUGAAUUCUCUGUACAUAAAAGCAUUUUUUUUCCAGUUUUUAUUUGAGUAACUUUUUAAAGAUGGUAUAAGAAGGAAUUUGCUGUAUGACAAAUGCUUCAAAUUCCAGUUUUGGUCUGAGUACCCACUAAAUUUUUAAAGCAAAGCUGAGUGUAGGUGACACUCAUUAAAAAACUUAGCAGAUUAAAGAACCAUGUGGCAACAUGGCAAAUUCUGUACAAAAGAAGUAAAAUACUGGCAGUUCCCAGGACAAAUCUAUAUCCAAAAUUUAUCCUGUUGCCUACACUAGUGCCAGGUUAAGAUGCUGCCAUGAAGGCAGAUUAGACAUUUCUUUGAAGUCUGCACAAAGGUGGUGCUGUGAAGCACCCGUGCCUUCUACCUGGUAAGCAAUUGCAAUGGAAGUUCACUGCCACUACACCCAAGUUCUUGUCAGUAUUUGGUGGUAAAACAAAAUAAAAGUAGUUUUGUUAG
rnacentral:lncRNA from 1 species